UCCGUAGGGUGCGAGCGUUGUCCGGAAUUACUGGGCGUAAAGAGCUCGUAGGUGGUUUGUCGCGUUGUCCGUGAAAACUCACAACUCAAUUGUGGGCGUGCGGGCGAUACGGGCAGACUGGAGUACUGCAGGGGAGACUGGAAUUCCUGGUGUAGCGGUGGAAUGCGCAGAUAUCAGGAGGAACACCGGUGGCGAAGGCGGGUCUCUGGGCAGUAACUGACGCUGAGGAGCGAAAGCCAGGGGAGCAAACGGG
rnacentral:rRNA from 1 species